GAUGAACGCUGGCGGCGUGCCUAACACAUGCGAGUCGAGCGGCAGCGAGGGGUGCUUGCACCCUGUCGGCGAGCGGCGGACGGCUGAGUAGCGCGUGGGAACGUGCCCCAAAGUGAGGAAUAACUGCCCGAAAGGGUAGCUAAUACCGCAUAUUAUCUUCGGAUCAAAGGAUUUAUCCGCUUUGGGAGCGGCUCGCGUCGGAUUAGGUAGUUGGUGAGGUAAUGGCUCACCAAGCCGACGAUCCGUAGCUGGUCUGAGAGGAUGACCAGCCAGACUGGAACUGAGACACGGUCCAGACUCCUACGGGAGGCAGCAGUGAGGAAUCUUCCACAAUGGGCGAAAGCCUGAUGGAGCAACGCCGCGUGCAGGACGAAGGCCUUCGGGUUGUAAACUGCUUUUAUAAGUGAGGAAUAUGACGGUAACUUAUGAAUAAGGAUCGGCUAACUACGUG
rnacentral:rRNA from 1 species